rnacentral:rRNA from 1 species
GAUAAACGCUGGCGGCGUGCCUAACACAUGCAAGUCGAACGAUGAAGAUUAAAAGAUUUCUUCGGAAUGAACUUAAUUGGAUUAGUGGCGGACGGGUGAGUAACGCGUGAGUAACCUGCCUUGUACAAGGGGAUAGCCGUUGGAAACGACGAAUGAUACCCUAUGACAUCAAAUAAUCGCAUGAUAAUUUGAUCAAAGAUUUAUCGGUAUAAGAUGGACUCGCGUCUGAUUAGCUAGUUGGUAGAGUAAAAGCCUACCAAGGCAACGAUCAGUAGCCGGCUUGAGAGAGUGUACGGCCACAUUGGGACUGAGACACGGCCCAGACUCCUACGGGAGGCAGCAGUGGGGAAUUUUGCACAAUGGGGGAAACCCUGAUGCAGCGACGCCGCGUGAUUUAGAAGGCCUUCGGGUUGUAAAAAUCUUUUGUAUGGGAAGAAAAUGACAGUACCAUACGAAUAAGGACCGGCUAAUUACGUG